UCGGGAAUUUUGGGCAAUGGGCGAAAGCCUGACCCAGCAACGCCGCGUGAAGGAUGAAGUAUUUCGGUAUGUAAACUUCGUAAGAAUAGGAAGAAUAAAUGACGGUACUAUUUGUAAGGUCCGGCUAACUACGUGCCAGCAGCCGCGGUAAUACGUAGGGACCAAGCGUUGUUCGGAUUUACUGGGCGUAAAGGGCGCGUAGGCGGCAAUUCAAGUCAUCUGUGAAAUCUCCGGGCUUAACUCGGAACGGUCAGAUGAUACUGCUUUGCUAGAGUGCAGAAGGGGCAAUCGGAAUUCUUGGUGUAGCGGUGAAAUGCGUAGAUAUCAAGAGGAACACCUGAGGUGAAGACGGGUUG
rnacentral:rRNA from 1 species